GACGAACGCUGGCGGCGUGCUUAACACAUGCAAGUCGAACGGAAAGGCCCUGCUUUUGUGGGGUGCUCGAGUGGCGAACGGGUGAGUAACACGUGAGUAACCUGCCCUUGACUUUGGGAUAACGUCAGGAAACUGGGGCUAUACCGGAUAGGAGCUCCUGCUGCAUGGGGGGGGUUGGAAAGUUUCGGCGGUUGGGGAUGGACGCGCGGCUUAUCAGCUUGUUGGUGGGGUAGUGGCUUACCAAGGCGUUGACGGGUAGCCGGCCUGAGAGGGUGACCGGCCACAUUGGGACUGAGAUACGGCCCAGACUCCUACGGGAGGCAGCAGUGGGGAAUAUUGCACAAUGGGCGGAAGCCUGAUGCAGCAACGCCGCGUGCGGGAUGACGGCCUUCGUGUUGUAAACCGCUUUCGCCUGUGACGAAGCGUGAGUGACGGUAAUGGGUAAAGAAGCACCGGCUAACUACGUG
rnacentral:rRNA from 1 species